rnacentral:rRNA from 1 species
UACGUAGGGUGCGAGCGUUAAUCGGAAUUACUGGGCGUAAAGCGUACGCAGGCGGCUUUGCAAGACAGGUGUGAAAUCCCCGGGCUUAACCUGGGAACUGCGUCCGAUACUGGCAGGCUUGAAUUCGGGAGAGGGAUGCGGAAUUCCAGGUGUAGCGGUGAAAUGCGUAGAUAUCUGGAGGAACACCGGUGGCGAAGGCGGCAUCCUGGACCGAGAUUGACGCUGAGGCGCGAAAGCCAGGGGAGCAAACGGG